GUAUAACUUUGGGACAGUUGUGCCUCUGUGGUUCUAAAGAUCUGAAAUUAUGCAGUUUGAGGUUCCCAUAUCUCCCUUUGGAAAUGCAUCCCCCUCUGACUUUACAUAGGCAUCCUAUGUGUGCUGAGAUUAUUGAAGAAGUUAUUCGGAGAGUGCACAUACCUUAAAAUCAAGCUAGAUCGCUGCUUCGACAGGAGAAGGGAUGCUCUAUAAUGCAGCCUGGUAAACCUCCCUCCUAGGCCCAGCUGUCCUCUGCUUUCAGUGUGAUUAUCUUUGUAAGGGGUUCAAGUGUUGUGAAACUACUGAUUUGGGUGUUGCUGAUUUUCAUCAUGAUUUUUUCUGUUUGUGUCAUCAUUUAUCAUGUAAUUUGCUAAACCUUUGGGCACAAU